rnacentral:rRNA from 1 species
UCUUUUUAUUGUGUGCCAGCAGCCGCGGUAAUACGGAGGAUGCGAGCGUUAUCCGGAUUUAUUGGGUUUAAAGGGAGCGCAGACGGGAGAUUAAGUCAGUUGUGAAAGUUUGCGGCUCAACCGUAAAAUUGCAGUUGAUACUGGUUUCCUUGAGUGCAGUUGAGGCAGGCGGAAUUCGUGGUGUAGCGGUGAAAUGCUUAGAUAUCACGAAGAACCCCGAUUGCGAAGGCAGCUUGCUAAACUGUAACUGACGUUCAUGCUCGAAAGUGUGGGUAUCAAACAGG